AUAAUAGUGUCCUAAGUUAAAAUUUAAAGCAUUCGAGAUAAAGAUGUAAUCCAACAGUGUCCUAGUGGUGCCUUAAAACACUAGGACACACUACAUGUGCCUUAUUUAUAAGGCACUACCACACUUGUCCUAAACCAUUUUAAUCUAUAAAAUAUUCACUUUCUCUCUCUUUUCACACCUUUUCAUACUUGGCUUAUAUAUAGUUGUAUUCAAAUAUAUUAAUAUUUUAAUAUUAAGACAUGAAGAUAAGGCAUAUUGUUGGAAUAGAUGUAUGUGUAUAGUGUCCUAAAUCACUAGGACAUUAUAUUUUAUUAU
rnacentral:lncRNA from 1 species